UACGUAGGGUGCAAGCGUUAAUCGGAAUUACUGGGCGUAAAGGGUGCGCAGGCGGCCGUGUGUGUGAGGCGUGAAAGCCCGAUGCUUAACAUCGGAAUUGCACCUCAAACUACAUGGCUAGAGCAUUGGAGAGGGUAGCGGAAUUCACGGUGUAGCAGUGAAAUGCGUAGAUAUCGUGAGGAACACCAGAGGCGAAGGCGGCCCCUGGCCGCCUG
rnacentral:rRNA from 1 species